UCUUUUGGGAAUGUGAUAGGAAGUUGAGUUUCUUGUCGAAAGUAACCCCUAGUAUUUUCAAUGUCCUCAUUGUAGGGAUCGGGAUUUUGUUGAGCUGAAGAUAGGUUCUCCUUCUGAGAGCUUUUCCGAUAUGUAUGUGUUUGGAUUUCUCCGGGGAAAUUUUAAAACCUGUUUUUAGAGCCCAGUUUUGGAUGGAGUCUAAGGUUUUUUGAAGCCUCUUUCUCUGAAUUAAGCCGAAGCAGCUCGUAGAGAUAAGAGUAAUGUCAUCUGCAUAGACUAUGACCUUUAUAUGGUCCGGGAUAAUCUAGAAUAGAGAUUGCAUGGCAAUGUUGAAGAGGGUUGGUGAAAGUGCUGAGCCUUGUGGGAAGCCGUUUUCUGGGAUUUUUAGAGAAGAUUGGUGGUUGUUAAUAACGGUUUUGAAAGACCGGUUUUCUAGAAAACUUUUAACGAAGAGACCUAAUCUCCCACGAAUCCCCCAGUCGAAAAGGCUUUUCAGCACUGGGUACCUCCAUGCCCGAUCGAAGGCCUUGGAUAAAUCCAGGGAAACAAUAUCAAUGUGGUGUAAUUUUUCAGAUGCGUCGUCUAGGAUUUUUUCGAUUGCUACAAGGCAAUCUUCUGUACCUUUUCCCGCACGGAAUGCGAAUUGUCUGGGAUCAAUCAGCUUAUUUGACUCUAGAAAAGUCGUUAAGCGUCGAUUGACCAUUUUUUCCAAGACUUUCCCAACACAACUUAGGAGAGUGAUGGGGCGGAAAUUGUCAAGAAGAUGAUUGUUCAUGUCUGGUUUCGGGAUACAGAUCAUUAAACCCUCUUUCCAGCAACUGGGGAGGGUUCCACUGUCCCAGACUUUGUUGAGGAGCUUCAGAAGUGCUUUUUUCCCGAGAUGGGGUAGAUUCUUAAGCAUAGGGUAGCUGAUGUCAUCAGGUCCUGUGAAUCCUUGUUUGACUUUGUUCAGUACCCAAUCGAGCUCUUUGAGGGAGAGGUUUUUGUUGAAGUCAAAUUCCACAUCGGUAUGAAAAUCGAUGGGAAUUCUUUCGCAUUCCGUUUUGUGGGUUAGAAAGGUUUGGUCGUAGUUUUGAUUGGAGGAGGCGGAAGCAAAGAAAUCUCCAAACGCCUCGGCGAUGAUUUUCCGGUCAUUGGUGUAUUGACCGUUAAUUAGAAGAUUAUAUUCUUUGCUUCUUUUCUUUCCAUGAAGCCUGCCAAUCUUACUCCAUAACUCCUUUGUUGACGCGUUGGGAUUAAUUUCGCUGACGAAUUUAACCCAACUGUUGUGCUUGGCUGUGUUGAUAGCAGUCUUAGCUUCUUUGCGAGCCCUUUUGAACUCUGCAAGCAGAGUGGGUCUCAGUGGGCUGUCCGGAUGGGCCUUUCUUAAUUUACGUAGGGCCUUACGUCGACCUUUGAUCGCUGCCUUCAGCUCAGGUGACCACCAUGGGACACAUUUCCUGCCAGGGAUGCCACUGGUUCUGGGGAUGUGCACCAUUGCAACUUCUAGGACAACUUUGGAGAAUUCCUCGGCUGUCCAGUCUCGUUUAGCGGAGAGGCGGUUUUCAAUGUCAAACUGAUAGCCAGCCCAGUCAGCGUAUUCAAAUUUCCAUCUUGGCCUUGUUGAAAACUCUGGAGAAGUUUGGCCGAAGGAGGUGAAGAUUGGAAAAUGAUCGCUUCCGCAAGUAUCAUCGUGGAUGUUCCAAGAAAGUUUUGAAGAUAGUUUGUCUGAUACUAUAGUGAGAUCGAUGGCUGAAGUAGUACCAGAAUAAUGGGUUCUGGUGUGUUGGCCGUUGUUAAGAAGGAGAAGAGAAUGGUCGGAUAUGAAAUCCUCAAUGAUGGAUCCUUUUCGAUCGAGGUAUGCACCUCCCCAGGCGUAUGAGUGGGCGUUGAAAUCACCCAUAAGCAUGAUUGGGGCGGGAAGUUGGGCGAACAGAUGGUCCAGUUGUCUGCGUAGAGUGUUCGGAUCGGAAUCAUUAGUGAUGUAGAUGCUAACGACGGUGAUUGGAAAGGGGUGUUUAAUGCGCACUACCACUGCCUGAAGAUCAGUGGUAAUGGGAAGAAGAUCAUGUGGAGUGCCAUCUUUGAUUGCGAUUGCAACUCCGUUUUUUGAGGGGUUGGGACCCUCUUUGAAAUAUGUGAUAUAUUUUGAGAUGAAGUGUUUAUCGAAGUUGUUUGGAGUCAUAGUUUCUUGAAGGGCUAUGACUGUGGGAUUAGAGUUCGAAAUAAGCAUUUUCAAUUCUAGAAUGUUUCGUCGGAUACUUCUGAUGUUCCAUUGUAUCCCGAAUUUCUGUGUUGGAGUGAAUGUGUUGGUGUUUUUGACUCUAAAUCCUAAGUCUUAAUUGUGUGUAUGUUUGAACUAUUCAAAGAGAAUUAGUUCGAUGGUCCUUUACCCUUGGAAAGAGAAGCUUUCUUUGAGGUGUUGGUGUCGUUUUUGUUUGGUGUAGAAGUCUUUGGAGUGUUUGUUGUGUGUGUGUGUUGUUUUUUGUUGAGUGUGCGUUGCUGUUGUUGUUAUUGUUGUUUUUUGUUUGAUGUGUGUUGUUGUUGUUGUUGUUGUUUUUUGUUGGUGUUGUGUUGUUAUUUGUUGGUGGUGUAGUUCUUUGUUCGUUUUUUGUUCUUUUCUUGUCCUUGUUAUUUUGGAUUUCAUCUGCAGAUUUUUGAUCUGAAUCAGAAGAUGAUCCUUUCGCCAUUUUCCGUUUAUUUUUAUUUUUGUUUGGAACAUCAGAAGUGUCCAUUGAAAUGACUGAUUCGGAUUCGGAUUCCGUUGUUGAGCUGUCGGUUGUCGACUCUGUCAUAGAAGUAUCGAUUGUAGUGUCAAUUGGGGGAGUGCUUUCGCGGCUAGAAGAGGCCGAAGCGGCCGAGGCGCAGUUGCAUUUGCAGUUGCAGCUGGGUGUUGGUUUUUGCAAGUUGGAGAGUCUGUCUUGCAGAACACUUGCAAAAGUUGGUCCAUUAUUUUGACCGUUGUAUUUUUCUUUCGCCUCUUUGUAGGAGAUACCAUAGUCGAUUCUUAAUUUUGUGAUGUUGUUCUCAGUUUGCCAUACGGGGCAUUUCCUAUUCGAAGAGGAAUGGUCCCCUUGGCAAUUCAAGCAAAAUGCUGAAGCAUUGCAGGUUUUAAUUCCAUCCUUUUGUUCUGGAUGUUCCUGUCCACAAUUUCGGCAAAGCGGGUUCUCGCGUUUGCAUCGCUUGCUCGUAUGUUCAAAUUUAUAGCAUUUGAAACAUUGCAUUGGGUUGGGAUAGAAAUUUCUAGUCCCAGCCCGAAUAAAUCCGAAGUUAAUAAAAUCGGGAACAACAGUUCCACGAAUUGUCAAAAUGAGAGUAGCGGUUGGGAUAACAAUGUUAUUCUCCUUCCUGGUGAUUCGCUUGACAUCGAUCACACCUUGAUCGGAAAGCUCUGUCACCAGUUCGGAUUCUUUGAUGUCAAUUACAUCAAGGCAAGUAACAACGCAUUUACGUUGAUUUAGAGUAGGGUGGUAAAUUACUUCGAUAGGGGUUUCAUCGAUCAAUUUGUUGAUUAAAAGGAGCUUACCAAUUAUAUCCUCGUCCUUGGCCGUAAGGAUAUACUGCGUCCUCUUUUUGUCGUCCCGUUGCGGUCGCGCUGUGUAGUAUUUCUUUCCUACAGCGUUGGCGAUCGUCUUACUCACGACGAACGGGUUAGUCGGGAUCGCGUUCUCUCCUGUGGCACGAAGUAACAGGAUCUGAAGGUUGCCGUUCAGUGGGUCGGCCCACCUUGGAGCAGUACGUUGGGUAGGUUUACCCUCGUACAAAUUUGUAGCCCGGCCUCCCGGAGGCCCGGAGCUACUUGAAGCCAUGCUUCUGCUUGACUAUACCUAGGUUAUAGUCAGCAGGUACGGAUAUAAAACCACUAAAAUUCCUUAUGGGGGAUAUUCACUAAGGGGUAUUUUCCCAGAAAAUCACACUUUGUUCCGAUAAAGCACUUUGAAAAGCCACCAACAGGUGCAGAAAAUUUCAAAUUACACUUAAUCUAAUAAUUGCUUCAGUCACUUCACUGUUUGUAUGUGUGGUUUUUUUUUCUUUUUAGAUUUUAUUUAAUAAUUAAGAUUCACUACUAGCACUACAAAAAAACUGGCAACACUGCCCGAAAGAAAAAAGGGGGCGUGGCGUCGGUGACGCCGAAAAAGCGCGCGCUUUUUCCGGCAAGCCGGUGAGCGCCCGCUCUCCACGAUCGAAGAGGCUAUUGCCUUUUCCCGCUCUCCCUCUGCUGUCACGUCCAAACUAUUGCUCCAAAUCCCCUUCCAAAAUCGCCAGGGGGAACGUCCCAGUCCGCUGUCCAGAAACGCCAAAACUCCGAGCUGCUGAAAGAAAAAUCGACCUUCUCGGUCGGAGGUUAAAAUCAGAGGAGAUAUAUUUUUUUGCCAUCGCUCCCUUUUAACGCUCAUUCGUUCGUCUCGUUGGACUCUCCCCUUUGGCUGAGUCUGCUGAUUUGUCUCUAUCCUGUGAGCGUGUACCGCUAAAGUACAAAACGCGCGGAUCCGCUGAAAAAUAUAUCAUUCUCUUUCAAACCGUAAAUCAGUGUGGUUGUAUGGCAUCGUUUCACAUCACAUCGCAUCAACAGAUUGGUGCCGGAGCACCAGCAUACCUAAUAGCGGUUAUAGAAUUUCGGCCGCCGGAGUGCUCGAGUUGGCUUGCAAAGCUGCUCAUGACAAUAAGAAAACCCGCCUACAGAACAGAGCACAUUCGGUUCGGUGGCAACAAUCAGUUUCAGCGAGUGGCAAACGCAAUCUCAAAACGGCAGCAGGUAGAAGAAGGAAAAUGUUUGUUUAUACAGACUGCUUUGGUGGCAAAACCAGCCACCGUAAAACACGGCGCCUUUCAUGGCCAUUAAGCCAUUCAAAGAAAAGUUAUUAAAAGUUAUUCACAAUACCAAUGCAUUCUAAAGUGACAUAAUAUGACAUAUAAUAUGAACUGAAUUUUUUUGUUUAUGCUUGUUUUUGAACUUAUUGGUGGUUGAGGUCUUUUAAAUUGAUCAUUCAGUUUUCACAAACCCAUACAUGGUCUCCGAAUUAAAAGUGGCUCCAAAUUACAACACAUUGUAUGCAGGAUGGCAUUAACGAAUUUUGUCGGUAGCAAGAACUGCUUUCUUUAGUUGAUAACUGAUGUUGAAAAUUGACUGACGUUACAUGUGCAUUGUAUAGAAACAUAACUAAGGAGCAAUAUGAUGAGCUAUGCAUUUCAUGCUACUCUGUUCUUAUUUUAAAGGACUUUAAUUCGAAGGUCAUCCGUCCCUGUAUUCACAUUGAUUUUUCAGAACGUUUAUAGCUCGUCUAUUCCUCGAUAGAUUGUAGAGUUCGUCUCCAAAACUUCAGUUCUUUUCAUUUUUAUUUAUUUUGUUUGCGGAGACUACAAAUAUUACAAUUCAUUCGUCUCCGAAACCACAGUUUAAGGUACGGUAAUGUGCUCAAUGAACUGACGACCACCUAUGCAUUCCUUAUCACAGCCAUCAUUUUGAUUGUACGAUAUGUGCAUACGCCGAAAAAUGCCCGGCGUUGAACAUUUAAUGAGUACAAAGCCUUCGGAAAAAAAAUCAAGAAUCAAAUAUAAGACAGUGAGAAAAAAAUGAGAAAUUUUUUACAAAAAAAACGCAAAAACACAACCAAAAGGUUCAUUUCAGAACUCCCAACAUGUUCAUAAAGAGUAAACAGUAAGCUAAUCCAUAUUUCAGGUAGAGAGGUAGGUAUUCACGUAGGAGAAGACAAUAAAACAACAUAUUUAAAAUAUAUAUUUAGAAUAAGCUGUCUGCGUUGUAUAGUCCUACGUCACUCCGGUUAUGUCCCCGACAUUACCCACCCGUCUUUUUUUUGAUGAAGAUAUUGGGAGAAAUCUCACACUGACUAGUCAUCACAAAACCUUAUUAAAAAAGCAUUGAACAAAAUAAGCUCUGUACGCUUUAUACUGACAUUUAUGACUCUGCUCUUUAUUACAAAUUGUACUGGUAUUAUUUCUGAACAUUUCCACUGAUUUAUUGCGCUGCUUUGCCGUUUCAUGUAAAGGAUCAGAACAUUUUUAUUAAGCGUGAAAGUACGGGGCGGAAUAGGCAUACCUGCUUGGGGCAGUAUGACCAUGUAUUUUUCCAACAGAACCAGUAAAUACAGCUGUCAAAUUUAUUUUUUUUCCAAUUCACUUUAUUUGUAAGGCUCAAUCGCAUAAGCUUUGCGGAGCCGCUAAUUCAAGGUUUGUUUAUACAAAGUUUCAACUAAUUGCUAUGUUUAGUAGGAUUCGACCGAAUACUCGCGGUUUACUCGAGGUUGAAAGGCCAACAAUUUUUGUGGAACUGGUCAGGUUAGGGAUAUGGAUAUGAGGUAUCGUUGCCGCACGCACUGUGGCAUUGUGCAUAAUGACCAGGGGUAGCAUCUGGUGUUCGACUAUCUAUCUAGGGUGGGCGACGGUGAGAUGAAGGGACAAGACAAACAAACUAAUAACGAAAAAGAAAAACACAAACGCAUUAAAUACUUAUACUAGACCGUUUCACAAACAUAUAGAUCAACUGCAUAUAACAGAUGUCGCAAGUUCCCAACACGUUUCUAACAGGAACAUAGGGUUGUUUUCUUUGGGCCUCAAGGGCAUUCAAAAGGUACUCUCUAGCAAGGCGUUAUACUAUAGGUGGACCGCAAUGUCAAAAUUGCUGUUCGGCCAUUGCUCGUGAAAAAACAAAUUUGUUUACAAAGCAAAUCAUAUCUUUUGGUGACAAAUGCAUUCGUUGGCAAAAUAGCUGCUCGCGCUUCACUGUAGGCAGGUAAUUUUCUGGAUUUUUUUGUAUAACAAUUUCUCAUAAUUGCUUCUACUUUUUCAGAUAUCUACAAUCAGCGGUCGAAUUAAAAACAGUGCAGAAGGAUGUUUUGAGUAUAUUUUACCUUCUAGCCGCGCAAUCAAUGCUUUUCUUUCCAAGCAAGCAGCGUUUUUCGGCAAAAGCAUGAAAUAGAAUCGUACGUGGUACGAUUUUAUCGGCACAAUCUGAUCAAGGACGGAGGCAUCAUCAAACGGAAACUACGCGAAAAACUUUUCGAAGAGAUAAAACUGCGCCGCAACACUCGUGUGAAAAUGGACGAGUUGGGCUGGGUGCUGAUGAACCACAAUUUGAUAACACGUAAUGAGCCAAUCCAACAGCAUGCCAAUGGUAAUCGACCAAAUAAUUUUAAAUUGAACAUGGAGCGGUUGCGAAACCUACUGGAGCAGCAAGAACAGAACAAUCACGCUGAGUUGACUUCCAAAAAGCAAAACAAAUCCCUGCGUAUGCUGGAUGCAAUUUUACAAAACGACAAAGUUUUGAAAGAAAUUAAAGAGAUGGUAGCGGCGAAUCGACUUCUAUCGGAAAUUCGUUAUGUGACUACGGUGGAACGUAUGCUGAAACACAAUUUGGACCCCUCUUUGCGCUGCUGCUUUGUAUGCCGAGAGUAUUUCCGCACUGCCGAUGAGUGUACCAGUCAUUUCGAAAAAUUGCACGGUGAGAAAUAUCUUAUUGUUGCGGAGGUGGAUCGAUUUCAGACUAGUCAAAAGUUCAACGUUCUACAUCACUACAAUGCCCUUAAUCCGGUGACAAUAUUCACGAUUUGCAACGUAUACCACACAGCCCUAAUAAAAAAAAACAAGAAAAGACGGGUCUAAUAUUUUACAAUAAAGUCUACAAUCUACCACUUUCCACGAAAAUCGGAGAACCACUAUAUCGGUUAGACAUGGAAUGGCUGAUACAUAUAAGGCAGAAAAAAUGUUUAACUUUGGAAUUCAACAUCCUAUAUUUCCUCGUACCAUUAAGUUCAUGGCGCAUUUGAUGUCGGUCAUCGUAACUGCUUCUGUGGAAAUGACGUGAGCAGAAAAGUGUGGUAAACAAUGUCCGGGUUAUUUUUCGUUAUGAGAACCUUGUUUCCACAUCCUUUUACUGCACAAUAAUACGGCAUCUGAAGUAAAUAAAAUAUUCACAAUAUAAUUUUGGCAUGAUAGAGAACCGCGAGAUGAACAAUUAUCUGUGGAGGAGUUGGACAACAGAUUUCUUAGACUUAUAGCACUUUUAUCACACUCACAAGCUAAUCAAAUCCUCACUGUCCCCCAAAAAUAUUGAAUAAUAUAUAAUUUUUUUUCCCAAAAUAUAUAUUUUAUUAAGGCACGUAGCUUGACGGGGCCGGGAGUCCAAUAUUUUAACAAUUUUGGUCUUACAACUAUGUUAGUAAUAUGUAACCGAUUACUCGCGGUUGGCUCGAGGUUAGUAUUACAAAGAUCUCAUAAUUGGGAUGUUGCAGUCAUCAGUACUAUGUAUGUGUGGCCGACACGGGAUACUUCCUAUUGGAGUAUAACUGACCAUUGAUCAGCGACGCCCCCCUAGUCUGUACCUGUCACUGGACGGUACAAUCUUCAGCUCGUGUAGAGUUGCCAUGAGCGGUACAAUCUUUGGCUCUUGUUGAAUGAUUAGUGGCCUUCGACCUGUGUAUCUGUAAAGAGUAUGUGUAUGUUUAAUUACAUUACAUGGAGCGGUUAUAAUAUAUAAUAUAAAUACCUUAUUGCAGCUAUAGUACACUAUUUUUCACGAAUAUAUAUUUGUUUAUUUCUUCCUUCAGUUGUUUUCCUCAGCGAGUUGAUAUGAAACCAUAACCACACAACCAAACAAAAAGUAAAUAAUUCAGAAAGCUACGUCUCGCUACUCGUCUCAGGUAUUGUCAUGAAAGUGUCAAGAACGAAACACCUAUAGUUUAGCAUCUUGCUCUCUAGCUGCGUAAUUAUCCGUACAUUGCCAAACUGCGUGAUAGAUGCCAUCGUAAUCGUUUCCACACCGACAGACGUUGCUUUGAACAAGAUUUAUUCUGUGGAGAUUCACAUCUAGCGAGUAGUGGUUGGACAUAAGUCUACUUAUUACAUGAAUGAAGUCACGACUUACGUCCAAACCUUUGAACCACGCUCUCGAUGAAACCUUUGGAAUAAUUGAAUAUGA